rnacentral:lncRNA from 1 species
ACUAGCGGAGCCGCGAGGGAGAGGCCGCGGCCCCUUCCCGUUGCCUGCGGCCACCGGCCGGCAUUCAGAGCCCCUCGCCUGGCGCUAAAUUUAAAAACGUAACACGAGCAGCAGGCUGGUCUCGGAAACGAAACGAAAUUCGGUCCCUGGGCCUCCUCCCGGGCGCUGCCGGUCCCUCAGCGCGCCGCGCCACCCGGAACAGACCCUUCUCCCGCCAUUUUCGGCGGGGCUGGGAGACUGAGGCCCGCGGCGCUGAGCCUGCGGCGCCCCGGAAGAGGCGGGCGGCAUGGCCGCUGGCGUGGACUGCGGGGACGGGGUUGGCGCCCGGCAGCACGUGUUCCUGGUUUCAGUUUUCAGUUUGUUUGGAGAAGCUGGCUAUCUCAGAUAAACAAAUCUGGAACUUGGAAGAGAUACUGUGAGAUAUGCAGACUUGGGACGUUGGUUUUCAUAGGCUGGUGAAGACAGAACCAUUUCCCAUUUCAGCAAGAAUAUUUAAAAGAUGCUUCAAAGAAGAUGAAAAAUGGGCUAAUGUUUGUAAAACUGGUUAACCCCUGUUCAGGAGAAGGAGCCAUUUACUUGUUCAAUAUGUGUCUACAGCAGCUGUUUGAAGUAAAAGUUUUCAAGGAAAAACACCAUUCUUGGUUUAUAAAUCAAUCAGUUCAAUCAGGAGGUCUUCUCCAUUUUGCCACACCUGUGGAUCCUCUAUUUCUGCUUCUCCACUACCUCAUAAAGGCUGAUAAGGAGGGGAAGUUUCAGCCCCUUGAUCAAGUUGUGGUGGAUAACGUGUUUCCAAAUUGCAUCUUGUUGCUGAAACUUCCUGGACUUGAGAAGUUACUUCAUCAUGUGACAGAGGAAAAAGGUAAUCCAGAAAUAGACAACAAGAAAUAUUACAAGUACAGCAAAGAGAAGACAUUAAAGUGGCUGGAAAAAAA